ACUCAAAGGAAUAGACGGGGGCCCGCACAAGCAGUGGAGUAUGUGGUUUAAUUCGAGGCAACGCGAAGAACCUUACCAGGGUUUGACAUCCCGCGCCAGAGGCAGAGAUGCUUUGUUCCUUUCGGGGACGCGGAGACAGGUGGUGCAUGGUUGUCGUCAGCUCGUGUCGUGAGAUGUUCGGUUAAGUCCGGCAACGAGCGCAACCCUCGUGGCCAGUUGCCAUCAUUCAGUUGGGCACUUUGGCAAGACUGCCGUUGACAAAACGGAGGAAGGUGGGGAUGACGUCAAAUCAUCAUGCCCCUUAAGUCCUGGGCUACACACGUACUACAAUGGGCGUUACAACGGGCAGCCACACCGCGAGGUGGAGCAAAUCCCCAAAGGCGCCCCCAGUUCGGAUUGCAGGCUGCAACUCGCCUGCAUGAAGCCGGAAUUGCUAGUAAUGGCAGGUCAGCAUACUGCCGUGAAUACGUUCCCGGGCCUUGUACACACCGCCCGU
rnacentral:rRNA from 1 species